rfam:Triticum urartu cultivar G1812 contig153131, whole genome shotgun sequence.
AAAAUACUACCUCCAUCCCAAAAUUCUUGUCUUAGAUUCGUCUAGAUAUGGAUGUGUCUAAUACUAAAAUGUGACUUGAUACAUUCGUAUUUAAACAAACCUAAGAAAAGAAUUUUGGGAUGGAGGGAGUAUAUG